UACGGAGGAUGCAAGCGUUAUCCGGAUUCAUUGGGUUUAAAGGGUGCGCAGGCGGGAGAUUAAGUCGGCGGUGAAAUUUUGCAGCUCAACUGUAAAAGUGCCUUCGAAACUGGUUCCUUGAGUGUAGAUGAAGUAGGCGGAAUUUGUGGUGUAGCGGUGAAAUGCAUAGAUAUCACGAGGAACUCCGAUUGCGAAGGCAGCUUACUGGGAUGCAACUGACGCUGAGGCACGAAAGCGUGGGUAUCAAACAGGAUUAGA
rnacentral:rRNA from 1 species